GCCGAGUGACGCUUGGAGGAGGAAGCGCAGCCCUUUUCCCCUCCCUCGCUGCCCCAGGCCCAGCGGGAGCCCCCCCAGUGCGCCUGUGCGGAGGCCUACUUGAUUAUGUGUGCCCUCUUCGGGCGCCAGCGUUAGCGGCCGGGUGGAGAUGGUCUCUAGCGACCGGCCCGUGUCACUGGAGGACGAGGUCUCCCAUAGUAUGAAGGAGAUGAUUGGAGGCUGUUGCGUUUGCUCAGACGAGAGAGGCUGGGCCGAGAACCCUCUGGUUUAUUGCGACGGGCACGGCUGCAGCGUCGCGGUGCAUCAAGCUUGCUAUGGCAUUGUUCAAGUACCCACUGGACCAUGGUUUUGCAGGAAAUGUGAAUCUCAAGAGAGAGCAGCCAGAGUGAGAUGUGAACUAUGUCCCCAUAAGGAUGGAGCUUUAAAAAGAACAGAUAAUGGGGGUUGGGCUCAUGUGGUUUGUGCCCUGUAUAUUCCAGAGGUACAAUUUGCCAAUGUUUCUACAAUGGAACCAAUCGUUUUACAGUCUGUUCCCCAUGAUCGCUACAAUAAGACAUGCUACAUUUGUGAUGAACAAGGAAGAGAAAGCAAAGCAGCCACUGGUGCUUGCAUGACAUGUAAUAAACAUGGAUGUCGGCAAGCUUUUCAUGUAACCUGUGCUCAAUUUGCUGGACUUCUAUGUGAAGAAGAAGGUAAUGGUGCAGAUAACGUCCAGUAUUGUGGCUACUGUAAAUACCAUUUUAGUAAGCUGAAAAAGAGCAAACGGGGAUCAAAUAGGUCAUAUGAUCAAAGUUUAAGUGAUUCUUCUUCUCACUCUCAGGAUAAACAUCAUGAGAAAGAGAAAAAAAAAUAUAAAGAAAAAGACAAACACAAACAAAAACACAAGAAGCAACCGGAGCCAUCACCUGCAUUGGUUCCAUCCUUGACUGUUACUACAGAAAAAACUUACACAAGCACUAGCAACAACUCUAUAUCUGGAUCAUUGAAGCGCUUGGAAGAUACUACGGCACGAUUUACAAAUGCAAAUUUCCAGGAAGUCUCUGCACACACCUCUAGUGGAAAAGAUGUUUCAGAGGCUAGAGGGUCAGAGGGCAAGGGGAAGAAAUCUUCAGCUCACAGCUCAGGUCAAAGGGGAAGGAAACCUGGUGGUGGAAGAAAUCCAGGAACAACUGUGUCAGCAGCUAGCCCAUUUCCACAAGGCAGUUUUUCAGGAACUCCAGGCAGUGUAAAAUCAUCUUCUGGAAGUUCAGUGCAGUCUCCCCAAGAUUUCUUGAGCUUUACAGACUCAGAUCUGCGUAAUGACAGUUAUACUCACUCCCAACAGUCAUCAUCAACCAAAGAUGUACAUAAAGGAGAGUCUGGAAGCCAGGAAGGGGGGGUAAAUAGUUUUAGUUCCUUAAUUGGUCACCCUGCGACCUCAGCUAUUGCACAGCCUAAAAGCUUUGAAAAUUCACCUGGAGAUUUGGGUAGUUCCAGCCUUCCUACAGCAGGAUAUAAGCGGGCUCAAACUUCUGGCAUAGAAGAAGAAACUAUAAAGGAAAAGAAAAGAAAAGGAAAUAAACAAAGUAAGCAUGGGCCUGGUAGACCCAAAGGAAACAAAAAUCAAGAGAAUGUUUCUCAUCUCUCAGUUUCUUCUGCUUCACCAACAUCAUCUGUAGCCUCAGCUGCAGGAAGCGUAACAAGCUCUAGUCUCCAGAAAUCUCCUACAUUGCUCAGGAAUGGAAGUUUACAGAGUCUUAGUGUUGGCUCAUCUCCAGUUGGUUCAGAAAUUUCCAUGCAGUAUCGGCAUGAUGGAGCUUGUCCAACAACUACUUUCUCAGAGUUGCUGAAUGCAAUACACAAUGACAGAGAUGACAGUUCUCCACUAACAAAGCAGGAACUUAAAUUCAUAGGUAUUUAUAACAGCAAUGAUGUAGCAGUAUCCUUUCCAAAUGUAGUAUCUGGCUCAGGAUCUAGCACUCCUGUCUCCAGCUCUCAUUUACCUCAGCAGUCCUCUGGUCAUUUGCAACAAGUGGGAGCUCUCUCCCCCUCAGCUGCAUCAUCUGUAACCCCUGCUGUUGUUACAACUCAGGCCAAUACCCUAUCUGGAUCUUCUUCUCUUAGUCAGGCACCAUCUCAUAUGUAUGGCAAUAGAUUAAAUCCAAAUCCAUCAAUGGCAGCUCUCAUAGCUCAGUCUGAAAGCAAUCAAACAGAUCAAGAUCUUGGAGACAAUAGCCGAAGCCUAGUUGGCAGAGGAAGCUCACCCAGAGGAAGUCUCUCACCACGAUCCCCUGUAAGCAACUUACAGAUUCGCUAUGACCAACCAGGAAACAGCAGUUUGGAAAAUCUUCCUCCAGUAGCAGCCAGUAUAGAACAGCUUUUGGAGAGGCAGUGGAGUGAAGGACAACAGUUUUUAUUAGAACAGGGGACUCCUAGUGACAUUUUAGGAAUGCUGAAGUCAUUACAUCAACUUCAAGUUGAAAAUCGAAGAUUAGAGGAACAGAUUAAAAACUUAACUGCCAAAAAGGAACGUCUUCAGUUAUUGAACGCACAACUUUCAGUGCCUUUUCCGACAAUAACAACAAAUCCUAGUCCAUCUCAUCAGAUACAUGCGUUUUCAGCACAGACUGCUCCUACUACUGAUUCCUUGAACAGCAGUAAGAGUCCUCAUAUAGGAAACAGCUUUUUACCUGAUAAUUCUCUUCCUGUAUUAAAUCAGGACUUAACCUCCAGUGGACAAAGCACCAGCAGUUCAUCGGCUCUUUCUACUCCUCCUCCUGCUGGGCAGAGUCCAGCUCAACAAGGCUCAGGAGUUAGUGGAGUUCAGCAGGUCAAUGGUGUGACAGUAGGGACACUAGCUAGUGGGAUGCAGACUGUGACAUCCACCAUUCCUGCUGUGUCUGCAGUGGGUGGAAUAAUUGGCGCUUUGCCAGGGAGCCAACUGGCAAUUAAUGGCAUCGUAGGAGCUUUAAAUGGGGUCAUUCAGACCCCUGUGACAAUAUCCCAGAACCCUACCCCCCUGACCCACACAACUGUACCACCUAAUGCAACACAUCCUAUGCCAGCUACACUGACUAACAGUGCCUCAGGACUAGGAUUACUUUCUGACCAGCAAAGACAAAUACUAAUUCAUCAACAGCAAUUUCAGCAGUUGUUAAAUUCUCAACAGCUCACACCAGAACAGCACCAGGCCUUUCUGUAUCAGCUGAUGCAGCACCAGCAGCACCACCCACCGGAACUUCAGCAGCUGCAGAUCCCUGGCCCUGCGCAGAUACCCAUCAACAACCUUCUUGCAGGUACUCAGGCGCCCCCACUUCACUCGGCUACCACCAACCCCUUCCUCACCAUCCAUGGAGACAAUGCAAGUCAGAAAGUCACAGUCUACUUUACUGGAGUAUAAAUGUGUCCCCUAAAGUCCAGUUGAGGGCAGAACCCUGUUAGAUGAAGGAUAUUGGGAUAUAGAAUGGAGACUGGACAUCAGGAAAAGGAAGAAGGGGAAGAAUGAGAGACUUAGUGAUAAAACUGGGCCUGUAGCUCAAGAGAAAAGUUGACAUUUGAGAAGCAUCUAAAAGUUGCUUAUCCUGCUGCUCUGGCACUUCAUCUGGCUGCUGUUGCAGUCCUUGCUACAGCUAUGAAGAAACGCAACAAGAAACCGCACAACCAAGGAUUGCCACAGGACUUCUUGUAAGGCUUUGAUUAAUUUUCUUGUUGCUUUGUUGCACUGAAAUGGAAUUCCCACAUCCCUACCCCCACCCAAAAGUUUUUGAACUUUCAAAGAAAAUUUAAUAACUUUUGUCAAUGAAAUAAUUUACAUGCAAUGAGUUUAUCAACCCAUGAAAAGUUUAAUGUAGUUGGUGCACAACUAGUUUUGUUAUAAAUUAGAGAUACAAAUAGCAAAACUAAACAUUUGUUCCAUAUACAAGCUACUUGGUCUUGUACAAGUUGGGAUAUGAAAUAUGAUCUCUUAUUUGGGCUCCAUUGUGCUUGCUCUCUGUAAGUCAGAUCUUAAAUUUCAAAGAACUGUCAACUUUCUUUUCCUGUAGUUUUUAUUCAUUAAAUAUUGCAGUUAUAUAGGUCAUCUACUGCAAACUUUGUUUAAAAAGUUGCCUUUCUAAUGAGAUUUGGCCAGUUUUGGUAAUCAAGUUAGGAUGGUAAUGUCUACUUCUGCUAAAGGUAAUUUUCAUUUGCUGAAUGCUUUUUCUUAAUGUUUUUAAAGAGACCUUGAGUUCUAAGGCUGCUGGGGAAACUAGAUCAAUUCAAAGCAAAAGACUUCUUUCAGAAAGAGGCUACUCUGGAAACUGCUGGUAGGGUCUGGCCUUAACCAAGUGCCUAUUAGCACCUUCCGGGGUGGAAGCGGCUCUAGACAGCAGGUCUCCAGCCAGCCAGCCCUGUGAGUAGAAGAACAGCACUUUCACCAGCAGCCUUCCCCAUGCUUCUGCCUUUAUUGAAAACUUUCUAUGCCACUGUAGAUAGCUCAGGCAAAACUAUUACCUGGGUAUUUAUCCACUAAUGAGUCACAAGAAAAUGAGUGGAUUUUAUAAGAGUAUAUGUUUGUUUUAUUUAAAUAGCUUCCCAUUACUGACCACACACACACACACACACACACACACACACUCUCUCUCACACUCACACUCACACUCACACUCUCACACACCACUACAGUUCCCAAAGCAGGUGAAACCUGUAUUAUAUCCUUUCCACUUCAGGUAGCCAUGCUCUUGAUGUGACAGUACGGCAGAGUAAUAAAUUAACAAUUGGGGACAUAAUCAUUGAUCUGUUCUUAAAUGUGUGAAUUAUUAGUGGAAAAGACCCAGCUGUAAUUAGACCUCCACUGUGUACUUAGCUGGAAGAACAUGUUAAUUCUGCAAUAUGUCUCUUGGUUAAACAUUGCACAGUUCUUACCUCAUUUCUGUAAAUAAGGUUUUGUGAAUCUGUUUUGUAUUGUGAAAAAUUCAUAAGAUAACAUUGAUAUUUUGAUUUGUAAUAUUUCUAAUUGGUAGAUUUAAUUGAAAAGUAAAAUUAAUUUAUUUUUAUAUGUUCAGGGGAAUUUUAAAGAAAGCCAAGCCUUUUGUAGAUAAUUAAAAAAAUCAGUGUGGUUUAUUUUACUUAUUUAACCCACUGGUUGUUAUUCUGUAACGAUUUGUAUAAAUGGUAAAUUUUGAAUGUGUUGUUAUUUUACCUAGAUGUAAAAUUCCACAUGUAUUAAAAUGUACAAAGUUUUUGUUAAUAAAAUUUAAUAAUGUUCAUAA